ACAGCUCAAAUGAUUUGUACGCAGCGGUGGCAGUCAAGACCCCUAAAGCCCGUAUACCAUCAUCAAAGAGUCAGAGAAAAUCCUGCACUAUUGAGGAUUAUGAAGAUUAUUUAACCAACAUAGAAGAUCUCAAGAUUUAUGGAAACGUCUAAUGAAAAUGCUCCACCUAACCUAAAAAUGUGCUUUAUACAGUGUUUUAAACAGAAAAAGACAACAGUUAAACAUAUAUUUUAGUCAAUAUUAAAAAAUACAACUUUGUCAUGUAUAUGUUAUGGAAAUAAUAGCAUCAAUAUUUUAAUUCACAUGCUUUUACUGUAUACAUAUUAUACUUACUGUAACUUUGUCUGAUUUGUUUGAAAUCUGGAUUUAUCUUUGGCUUUUUUUCCCAAAAGGGCAAGUUGGCUAAGCAAACAAUGUUUCACUUACAGGGAUUAUUCACCCCAAAACUACAUUUUUGUCAUCAUUUACUCUCGUGUUGUUUUCAAACCUGUAUGAGUUUCUUUAUUCUGUUGAAGAUACAGUAAUGUGAUAAAUGAUGGUGAGAAUGGUACCCAUUGACUUCCUUGUUUUUCUUACUAUGGCAGUAAA